AAUUGAGUAAUGAAUAUAGUUGUUUUUUUGAAAUUCCUUUCAUGGAAUUAUCUCUCUCCCUCUUAAUUCUCUCUAAAUUCCCUCUGAUUGAUUAAUUCUUCUCUAUUCCUAAAUCAUAUCCCUUACACUCUGGCCAUCUUCCUGCUCUGGUCACCAUGCCCUAACCCUCAACAUUGUGCUGGCCACCGUCUUCUUUUUCAUCCCCUCCACCGCGUCUCCGCCUCGCAUCUGCUACAUCCUCUCUACCGCGCCUCCGCCUCGCAUCUGCUUUGCUCUAUUUUCCCUGCUGGGCGUUCGUCUCUGCCAUUCCCUGCCUCGCCGUUUUUUCUUUGCUCGAUUCUCUGCUGAGAGGAAUCGAUAGAUUGCCCCCAGGGUUUCUUUAAGGCUGCAACUAAAGUUCUUCCUCGACAGUUGGUAAGGCUUAGGCAGCAGAUUGCUAACCUUCAAGGUAGUUGAGCUCAGAUGAGAGGCAUAGCAACUCACACAUAGGUAGAUUGUUGAUGUGUUGUUUUCUUUUUCGGAUGGUUGUUUAUGCAAGGAGGGAUGUUUAUCAGUUUAAUGCUCUUUGGUGUGGUUGGGAUUUUGAUUCUGGCUAUGCAUGCCCAUUCUUCUGUUGCUGCUAGUAUGCAAGGAGCUAGUAAGGCAAUGGCAGCUUUGAAUAAGAUUGGCCCAUGAUAUUGAUAUCAGCAUUCUGCUUGGUUUUACUCAGAAUAAAGGAUAGUAAGGUUAAAUUAAAUAUUUCUUAGUUUAUAAAGAACAAGCAUUUAGAAUAGGGGACCUGCUACCUAUAUGGAUCAUUUUCAUAUUGUAUGUGUACAAUUUUAUAGUAGUAACAUGGCAAUUAAAUAAGGAAAUAUAGAUUGGAGGGAACCCUAUAGUCUAUAGGCAACUCUUACCACUACUACUAUAUGUAUUAUGUUUUCUCAUUUAAUUAAUUUCAACUUCUCUUUUUGUAUUUAUCACUUAUUACAAUGAAGAGACCUAGUAGAUCUAGAAAUUGUGCUAUGUUUAACUGUAUAUAGCAUGCUGAUAACUCUGAUUCCAAUCUUCUACUAUGGAGAUCUAAGAUCUGGUUGAACUUGACUGAUUUUAUUUAAUGUGCAUAGCUUGUGUGUUUAUUUUUCAUUUUUCUUGUUGUCUUGACUGUUCGUCAGCCUUAUUGUCUGAACUAAUUUUUCUUCUGAUCUAGUUGCUGGACGGCCUUUUGUUUGAUAGAGUAUCAUAUUAUGGUGUGCCUCAUAUUUUUCUUGGCCCCUAUUUUUCUUUGAAAACUCAUGUAAUUUAUGGUGUAGUUUGUGUAAUACUGCACUCUAUUGUUUCCAUGCUCUCACCAAUAAUUGAUUGAUCAUGCAUGAACUUAAAAUAGCUCAAACUAAGAAAUGAAAUAUGCAUGCUGGAUAUUAGAGCAGUGGUGCUCAUCAUCAUCAAUCUUUCCCUUCCCUUCUCCAGCGCCACCACUAGGCUGCCACCGUGUUGCUCCGGCCAUUCACUCAUCAUCAUCAAUCUUUUCAUUCCCUUCCCCUGUUCCAAUUCCCUACUUCCCAGGUUUCCCUUUUAUCUCAUUUGAUUUUAUUUCUGUUUGGUUAAUCUAGUUUAGCUCAUUUUGUUUAACUUGUUUAGUUCAACUAAUUUAGUUUAGUUGAAUUAGGUGGUUAAUUAGAGAAUCUGGAUUGGUUAGUGGAUGUAGGUUUUGUUUUGUUUACUGCUGCUGUUCGGAAUGAAUUUGUCUUUCCUCUGAAUGUUGCGUUGGAUGAACUUGUUUAUUAUGCUGUUUUGGUGUUGAAUUCUGGACUUGUGAUUGCUGUUUAUUGUAUUUUUGUUCACUAUCCAAAAUAGAUUCUGUGAAAGUGUUACUGUUUGAUUAAAUUUUCUUGGUUUAUUGUUGCUGAGUGCUGCUCUGCUUGUUGCUUGGUCCAUAUUAUAUGAACUGCAAUAAUUUCAGUUUGUGGAACUGGUUAAGUCAUAUGAAUUCUCUUUGCUGCUUGCUUGAACCUGGGAAAUAUGCUAUUUACUGCUGCUGUUUAAACAAUGUUUCUCUUUUUUCUUUUGGAUUUAUUUUCUUAAUAAUUUGAUUUCAGGGUAGCAUGACUUACCACUGAUGUGAAGAAAAGAAUCACAAGUUCACAACUGUAUUUCUUUGUUGUUGUUACUUCUCAAAAGUUUUGCAGUGUCAUAUUCUGGAUUUUUUCAAGGUACAUCAUGUUUAAUGUUCUACUGAUGUUUGUAAUUUUGGCUUUCUAGGAUUUUCUUGGCUUGGUGGAGAAAUUUUACUAUCUCUCUGGCAGAUAUGACAUUGAGCUGACUGUUGGUGAUGCUGUCAUGGAGAACUCUUUCUUACGGCCACUUGGCCAUCUUGAAUUAGAUCUUCCAGAAGCACCUACUAGCAAGGCACCCCGUCCUCCUCCACUAGCUGUUGAUCCAUACACGAGAUAUGGGCCCAAAGCAGAGAUAACCCACUUAUUCAGGACUCUUGAAAAAUGACCACCAACACAACUCUCUCUUAUUUUCUUGAGUUUGACCCUUCUGCCCUUAAUUGGCUAUUUGGUUGGACUACUGCGCUUGGGGGUAAACUUGAGGAACUUUCCUUCUUCAGCAGCACCUGCUACACUUGAGGAACAUUCUUCAUGCAAGUGCUUUGUUGGGGAGGGGAAUUUGGACCUUAAAUGAAAAAAAUUUGUACCAAUUUCUUGUCAGUGCUUGAGGAGAAUCAUAAAUUCCUGGCUAGUAUUGGAAUGGAUAACUUGAACGCUUAAUGCACAAAGUGGAGCAGUUUUAGGUUGAUUCUGAUCUUUUACUAAGUAUUUAGGUUGAUGAUCAUCUCUAUUAGUGUAAUUUGAUAUAUUAUGAGCAAUUCUAACUUGUAUUGUUUCUG